ensembl:misc_RNA 7SK 7SK RNA
CAAUGGUCUUAGGUGACCCCUGUGAAAGGGUCGUUCGACCCCAAAGGGGUCUCGACCCACAGGUUGAGAACCGAUGCUCCUAAAGCUUACAGCUUGGUCAAAGAGGGCAAACUUCCACCAGAGGAGAGGACCUAUCUUAGGUCAAGGGUAUACAAACAGCUACUCUCCCCUGCUAGAACCUUCAAACAAGCAGUCAAGAAAUUUCUAUUAUUUGAACCAUGCAUGGAAAUCCUCUUUCCUCCAGGUUGAGAAUUUUAAUACUGUUUCAUAGUAAACUGGAUUAUUUA